rnacentral:lncRNA from 1 species
GACCUGACCCAGCUUCAAACGCUCCAACCCGGGCGCAACUCUGGGCAAGUCCGUUAACCCUGAUUUGCCUCAGUUUCCUCAUCUGUACAAUGAGCCGAAGGGGGAAACGGCAAAGCUCUCCAACGUCUUUGCCAAGAAAGGCUCACAGGGGACACAGAGACCCCACCGAGCAACCAGCAUCCUGAAUGUCCUCGGGCCUUAUUUGUCUGUGGCCCCUCGCGGAUGUUUCCUCGGGAAUACUCUCGGCCCGGGCCAAUGUGGCCUUUCUCGGACUAUACGCGUCUGUCGUAGGGAGUUUCUUCUUUUGUUCUCAGUGGGGGUGAACGGGGAAGGUGAACUUUUGUCCCCCCCCCCCCCCCCCCAGCGUCUGGCGCUGGACACUGGCUAAGUCCUCGCUGACCGAGGCCUUCCCGUGGAAGGAGAAGCUGUUCCUUGCUCCCGCUCACCACCAAUGGACACCUCCCCUCCCCCUCCCACCACGUGCCCUCCCAUCUUGGGCAGACUUGGAAAUGUCGUUGAGCUUCGUUCCUCCAGCUCUGCCCCGGCCUUCAAGAGAUCUCCCUUCGGACUGGAAAGGAAUGGCUGCCUCACUGUGCUCAGUUAUAACUAAGCACCCACUGUGGGCCAGGCCUUGGAGCCGGAAUGAAAAUGACAGAGCCCGGCCUCAAGAAGCUUCCAUUCUGCCAAGAUUGGGAAAAUCAAAGCAGAUGGAAGUAAAGUAACUUGUCUGGAAUCACCCAGUUAGUACUUGAGGCUGAAUUUUAAUUCAUUGCUUAUAAUGUCAUCUCUUGGCAAAUGGUGAGGUUUGGGAUUUGAAGCCUGGUCUUCUGUUCCCUGACUCACUUCUGAUGGGCCCAUGACAGGGAAAGGAAAGCAGCUGAGUCCUUGGUACAUCUCUAAAAGUCAUUUUGCUCCUCUGUAGGCUAUCAGAAUGGCAACAUUACACCUUUGCAAUCAUUAAAAAUCUGCUAUUCGUUAACUGGCAGUUCUAGGAGGACCCUUCCCCAGAGAUCUAUGUUUAAUCCAGCUUGUCCCAUUAAUAAACAUUGACCUAAAUGCUGUUUUCUGAAAAAAAAAAAAUUACUCUCCUAUCCUUUUUGGGGGAUCCAUAUCACUCCCCCAAAAAGUCAUUUCUCAAAAUUAUUUGAGAGUUUAACAUAACUUAAAAAUGAUAAUUCAGCUCCCUUUCUAUCAGAGGCUGAUUUCAGAAAAGCCUGGGCUUACGUGAACUGAUACUGAGUGAAGUGAGCAAAACCAGAACACUCUAUACAGCGACAGCACAAUCUACGAGAAUCAAUUAUGCUAGACUUAGCUCUUUUCAGCAAAAGGA